rnacentral:rRNA from 1 species
AUUGAACGCUGGCGGCAGGCCUAACACAUGCAAGUCGAACGGUAACAGAAAGCAGCUUGCUGCUUUGCUGACGAGUGGCGGACGGGUGAGUAAUGUCUGGGAAACUGCCUGAUGGAGGGGGAUACCUACUGGAAACGGUAGCUAAUACCGCAUAACGUCGCAAGACCAAAGAGGGGGACCUUCGGGCCUCUUGCCAUCGGAUGUGCCCAGAUGGGAUUAGCUAGUAGGUGGGGUAACGGCUCACCUAGGCGACGAUCCCUAGCUGGUCUGAGAGGAUGACCAGCCACACUGGAACUGAGACACGGUCCAGACUCCUACGGGAGGCAGCAGUGGGGAAUAUUGCACAAUGGGCGCAAGCCUGAUGCAGCCAUGCCGCGUGUAUGAAGAAGGCCUUCGGGUUGUAAAGUACUUUCAGCGGGGAGGAAGGGAGUAAAGUUAAUACCUUUGCUCAUUGACGUUACCCGCAGAAGAAGCACCGGCUAACUCCGUG